CACUAUCGUUAACUGAAUACAUAGGUUAACGAGGCGAACCGGGGGAACUGAAACAUCUAAGUACCCCGAGGAAAAGAAAUCAACCGAGAUUCCCCCAGUAGCGGCGAGCGAACGGGGAGCAGCCCAGAGUCUGAAUCAGCUUGUGUGUUAGUGGAACGGUCUGGAAAGUCCGACGGUACAGGGUGAUAGUCCCGUACACCAAAAUGCACAGGUUGUGAACUCGAAGAGUAGGGCGGGACACGUGGUAUCCUGUCUGAAUAUGGGGGGACCAUCCUCCAAGGCUAAAUACUCCUGACUGACCGAUAGUGAACCAGUACCGUGAGGGAAAGGCGAAAAGAACCCCGGCGAGGGGAGUGAAAAAAGAACCUGAAACCGUGUACGUACAAGCAGUGGGAGCACCUUUAUGGUGUGACUGCGUACCUUUUGUAUAAUGGGUCAGCGACUUAUAUUCUGUAGCAAGGUUAACCGUAUAGGGGAGCCGCAGGGAAACCGAGUCUUAACUGGGCGUUAAGUUGCAGGGUAUAGACCCGAAACCCGGUGAUCUAGCCAUGGGCAGGUUGAAGGUUGGGUAACACUAACUGGAGGACCGAACCGACUAAUGUUGAAAAAUUAGCGGAUGACUUGUGGCUGGGGGUGAAAGGCCAAUCAAACCGGGAGAUAGCUGGUUCUCCCCGAAAGCUAUUUAGGUAGCGCCUCGUGAA
rnacentral:rRNA from 1 species